CUUUCCGUGCUGUGUACCGUGGAAACACAAGGCACUGCUCUGGCUCUGCAAAGCUCACAAAUCCCCAGGACAAACCCUACAGAACUUGGCUGCAAAUGAAUUGGAUCCACUGUUCCUGUGAGAGUUCCUGUGCUCACAGAGGGAUGUUUUGUACCGGAAAAACAAGCACAGAAGAUGAGAGGAACAGGAAAAUGUAUCUGCUUGAAAUUGUCACCAGGCCAAAAAAACGACUGCAUCAUCUGAGGCAGCUCAGACACAGCACAUACCAGUGAAACACCAGCUCUUGGUGGCUUUAGCAAAGCUGUGCCACAGAAGAGGAUGGUCACAAAAUAUGAGGUGUGUAAAGCAAAAGGCAACAGGGAAUCACGGGGCCCACAUCACUCCAAGUGCCCAGAACGAACCCCCCAGCGCUCCAUCAGCUCAGCACCGCGGAGCGGCAGCGAGGGACAGAUCCCUGCUGCAGGAGUUACUGGGACACAUCCAAACCAGCAUUUGUUAGCACUCACACGGACACAGGGACAAGGAUCUGUGCAGAGAUGUAAUCCGAUGCACCAGCAUCUGGCUGGCACACAAACAAGGCGUGCUUUCAUCCCCACGGGCAGGGCUGGAAGCACUGCUGCCUAUUUUAAACAUCUUUAAUUGCUCGCAAAGCCGAGGAAGGAGCCAGCCCCUGCUCUGCACACAGUCAUUGUCCCCAAACAAUGAACUACCCGGAGCCAAAGCGCCUCCCAGCUCCAGCAGCAGUGCUGAUAUGCUGCAGAAACCCAGUAUCCUUCUGCCUGUGACUCCAGGGAACAGCCAGGAGGAGAGGAGUAAGUACGCUGGGAUUUACAGAGCAAGUGACUGACCUUCAGAGACCAAAGCAGAAAUAAAUAAAGAUGCCAAGACCAAAGAUCAGCCGAGAUUUUGACUUUGCAAAUUCACAGUAUCAACAGCACUGUCCUUGAGCACAAGUCCAGGAGGUGGGAGAGAUGGGUUUAUAACCAGCAACUACAGAAACUUUCUCUGAACUUUACACUCUAAGCUCUGUAGUGAGUAGGAA